UGCUGUCCUCUGUGAACACCUCUGAGUGAGCCUUGAGUUUUAUCCUGGGGAUUUCCUAUGGGGUAAUGAAAAAUUUCAAGAGAGAUAUGAUGUAUGGGAAAUCUGUGUCCAACCUUGGAAGCAAGUGCUGUUCUCUGAUCCCAGGCUAGUGCCUGCUGCAGUGAAGUAUCGUUCUGUUCCACAGUGUGUGUCAUUUCUUCUUGAUAUUUUUCUACUCAGUGGCUGAUGUCAUCUGCUUUUUUCCUCCUCAAUUAUGCUUCUAACAUAGAAAAUAAUUGCAGGGAGCAAGAGAUAAAAAGCUUCUGAGAAUUCCCAUGGAUUCCCUUCUGCUUCAGACAAGUAAAGAUCCCUCUGGCAUCAUUGGAAUUUUCUUGCCUGCUGGUAUUGAGAAGUCCUGAGGACUGUGUACAAAGAAAUAGAAAGGCUGCAUUUUAGUAGUGGGAAUUUUAACAGUACAGUCUGACUCGAGUCAGAGACACUAUCUCAUCUGGGGCCCAAUCCUGCUGUCAGUACAAUUCAGAGGGAUAAGAUCAAGCCUUGAGCUGGUGGUGCAGUGACAACAGCCCUCACACAAAACCUUUUGAAGGGACUCUUUGUGUUCUACAGGCCCUGGCAAACUGAGUCCCAGUGGCAAGUAUGGAGGGAAGACAGAGCUGAUGAAGUUGCCAGGGUCUGUGAUAAACCCAAGGACAGAACAUAGCAAGCAUCACAGUAGUCUACGAAGUACAGUAAAAAGGAAAAAAAAAAGGCUAUAAAUAAGUUGAAGAUGAUGUUUCAGAUAGGAAUGGGGCACAAUUUGUCCCUGACAAGGCACCUGGAAUGCUUGAUCCUAAAGCUGCAGUGAUUUGAAUUGAAUUCCUGUGAUCUGCCUGUGGGAACAGCCAGGAUGGCAUUUUUCACCUUCCUCUGGCCUUAUUUCAUAAUUGGAAUUAAUGACUUUUCCUGGAAGAAAAUCAGGCAGUGAGCAAUGAUUAUCUUAGUCCUUGGUUAGGACUCCUGCACAUUCUGAUAAUGGAUCUGACCUUCUAUCCAAGCAAGUUCAUGCUCCCUCUGGAUACUGAAGGAGACGUUUUGAGCACAUUAGAAGGCUACUAGGAAGAAGCUGAUGGGAGAAGAUUGGACAGCAGUAUCACCACUUGCUGUUCUUUGGAAUUACGACCGUGAGCUCUGGGGACUGACACGUACCUGAUACACAGAAGGGAAGGCUGUGCAUAUCAGCAUCAGCCUGCUUCCACCUCAUUAUUCCCUCAGAAUGGGUGUUUCCAUCCAAGUGAUUAUUUGAGAGCUUUUGACUGAAAUGUGGGCACACAGGUCUUUCCUCCCAAGCUUCCAUUAUAACCAUGGUCUGGAAUUUGUUAUCGGUAAGUGCAGGAUAAAAUUGCACAAAAUUAAUUUUUUUUUAAGGUUGACCUUGAUCUUUU